rnacentral:tRNA from 1 species
ACUAUUUUGACAGAUAAAUGUGAUGGUUUUAGAAAUCAUAAAUAUAUAAUUUAAUUAUAUAAAUAGUA